rnacentral:rRNA from 1 species
UGGGGAAUAUUGCACAAUGGCGAAAGCCUGAUGCAGCGACGCCGCGUGAGGGAUGACGGCCUUCGGGUUGUAAACCUCUUUCAGCAGGGACGAAGCGCAAGUGACGGUACCUGCAGAAGAAGCACCGGCUAACUACGUGCCAGCAGCCGCGGUAAUACGUAGGGUGCAAGCGUUGUCCGGAAUUACUGGGCGUAAAGAGUUCGUAGGCGGUUUGUCGCGUCGUUUGUGAAAACCAGCAGCUCAACUGCUGGCUUGCAGGCGAUACGGGCAGACUUGAGUACUGCAGGGGAGACUGGAAUUCUUGGUGUAGCGGUGAAAUGCGCAGAUAUCAGGAGGAACACCGGUGGCGAAGGCGGGUCUCUGGGCAGUAACUGACGCUGAGGAACGAAAGCGUGGGUAGCGAACAGG